rnacentral:lncRNA from 1 species
GAUAUUUUUGGAUUCAUUUCAUCAUCUAGAAGAACAUUGCUGGCUUUCAGAUCUCUGUGGAUUACUCUAAGUCGAGAAUCCUCAUGAAGGUAUAGCAGUCCUUUUGCAAUUCCAUUGAUAAUGCUUCGUCGUAAUCUCCAAUCUAUGUGCUUAUGCUUUUCCUUAUCUGUCAAGUAGAGGAAUAUUGAAUUCAUGUUAGUGAUAAUAACGAUAGCAAUGGAUGGAUACUAUCAUUCAUUUUUAUCUUCAUAGUUGUUUUACAGGAAUAAUCACUGGAUAUAAUAUUGUAAUUAUGCUCCAAAAUGCAUAAUAUGCCCAGGAAUGAUUAAUCAAAUAAUCACUGGAUAUGAUAAUUAUACUUUAAUAAUUAGAACAUACAGUAACUUCUAAAAUUAGUACUAAAUUGGAAAAAGUAAAAGACAGAAUCAUUAAAGCAAAAACAUACCGAAAAGGUGAAAGUCGAGGCUUGAAUUUUGCAAGUAUUCAUAUACAAGUAUUUUUUCAUUUUCCUCCAUGCAGCAGCCCAAGAGUUUCACGAGGUUUCGGUGUUGCAGAUUGGCUAUGAAGAUUACUUCAUUUUCGAACUCCUCUGAACCUUGACCAGACAUCUCUGCAAGCCUUUUCACAGCAACUUCUGUGCCAUCUGGUAAAGUACCCUGGUAAACAGAUGAAUCUCAAGUUAAAAAUCAAAACUAUAACUUCAUUGAUUGACUUCUGGAUACAAUUUAUUCAUACCUUGUAAACAGGGCCAAAUCCACCUUCUCCUAAUUUAGAUGACUCUGAAAAGUUAUCCGUGGCCUGUUGAAUUACACUUAAAGGAAUUAUAGGAAGGUCUCCAUGCAAUGAAUCAUCUCUUUGAACAUGAUCACGGAAAGACAUCGGCGUAACGGUUCUCAACAGCAAACCACCUAAGAAGGAAGAUAGUAAGUCUAAAUAGUGACUUUUUAUCAUAGAUAAUUGUGAAAUGGGCUUAUAGAAUUCUCAACAUUAUGUAACUUGUUAUAUUUACCUUCACUUAAUCCUUUCUUUUUCCAGUAAUAGUAGCCAUAGCAACUUAGUAGAGCUACUGCCACAAGCACACUUACUACGAUGAUGAUCAAAGUUUUG